UUCUGGCUCAGGAUGAACGCUGGCGGCGUGCCUAAUACAUGCAAGUCGAGCGAGAACUUGAUGAUCGAAGAUUCGUCUGAAAGAUUCAAGGGAAAGCGGCGGACGGGUGAGUAACGCGUAGGCAACCUGCCCUUAGCAGAGGGAUAGCCAUUGGAAACGAUGAUUAAAACCUCAUAACGCUUUAGAGACACAUGUCUUUAAAGCCAAAGAUUUAUCGGCUAAGGAUGGGCCUGCGUCUGAUUAACUGGUUGGUGAGGUAACGGCUCACCCAAGGUGACGAUCAGUAGCCGACCUGAGAGGGUGAUCGGCCACAUUGGAACUGAGACACGGUCCAAACUUCUACGGAAGGCAGCAGUAAGGAAUCUUGCACAAUGGGGGAAACCCUGAUGCAGCAACGCCGCGUGAACGAAGAAGGCCUUCGGGUUGUAAAGUUCUGAUCUUGGGGAAGAAGGAAGUGACGGUACCCAAGGAGAAAGCCCCGGCUAACUACGUGCCAGCAGCUGC
rnacentral:rRNA from 1 species